rnacentral:lncRNA from 1 species
GGGCUGCCUCUGCCUGCCCCACCUUCCCCUCCAGCCCCUAGCCUCAGCCUGCGUGCACCAGCAGAUUCUGGCUCCCUAAUUGUAAGUCACCAUAGUGGUUUAUCAACCCCUACUGCGGUUGACACCAUCAGUCAUCUGGACAGUGUGGAUCUACUUUAGAACUCGGCUCAGGGUGCUUGAACGACACAGAUCCCAGGACGCUGAGUUAGUAACCAGAUCCAUAGCAAAAGCUCUGAACAGAGACACUCGGUUUCCACGAAGGUUAGCCUGAAAUACCUGGUAGGCCAGACCUUCAAGACAUCAAAUCCACUCUCUGGUGAAGAGAGGGAGCCGGGGUUCCUUGGGAGGUGGGAUGCACUCUUCAUCGGUCACCACAAAACAAACAUCUUGAGGAAUUCAGUCGUUUCUAUGGUUCAAAGCCCAUGAUUUGAGAAGCAGACAGGCUGCACUCAGCAUCUUUUACCAAUCAUACCUGAGAUGGAGGAUUUACCUGGUAUAAUCAUUCUGUCUGGUUACGGUGCAGACAGCACCAGAAAGGUACAGGAGAAGAG